GGUGUGACUGCGUACCUUUUGUAUAAUGGGUCAGCGACUUAUAUUCUGUAGCAAGGUUAACCGUAUAGGGGAGCCGGAGGGAAACCGAGUCUUAAUUGGGCGUUAAGUUGCAGGGUAUAGACCCGAAACCCGGUGAUCUAGCCAUGGGCAGGUUGAAGGUUGGGUAACACUAACUGGAGGACCGAACCGACUAAUGUUGAAAAAUUAGCGGAUGACCUGUGGCUGGGGGUGAAAGGCCAAUCAAACCGGGAGAUAGCUGGUUCUCCCCGAAAGCUAUUUAGGUAGCGCCUCGUGAAUUCAUCUCCGGGGGUAGAGCACUGUUUCGGCUAGGGGGCCAUCCCGGCUUACCAACCCGAUGCAAACUGCGAAUACCGGAGAAUGUUAUCACGGGAGACACACGGCGGGUGCUAACGUCCGUCGUGAAGAGGGAAACAACCCAGACCGCCAGCUAAGGUCCCAAAGUCAUGGUUAAGUGGGAAACGAUGUGGGAAGGCCCAGACAGCCAGGAUGUUGGCUUAGAAGCAGCCAUCAUUUAAAGAAAGCGUAAUAGCUCACUGGUCGAGUCGGCCUGCGCGGAAGAUGUAACGGGGCUAAACCAU
rnacentral:rRNA from 1 species